UAGGUUAUCCGUGUUGCCUUCGCUUUAUUUGUGCCGAAUCAUACACGGUUCACCUAUU
rnacentral:pre_miRNA from 1 species